UAGUGAAUCUUCCGCAAUGUACGCAAGUCUGACGGAGCAACGCCUCGUGAGUGAAGAAUUAUUUCGGUUCUUAAAACUCUGUUGUUAGAGAAGAACAUCGCAUAGACUAACUUUUAUGCUUGUGACUUUAUCUAACCAGAAAUCCACGGCUAACUACGUGCCAGCAGCCGCUGUAAUACUUAGUUGGCAAGCUUUGUCCGUAUUUAUUGGGCGUAAAGCGAGCGCAGGCGGUCAAUUAAGUCUGAUGUGAAAGCCCCCGGCUCAACCGGGGAGGGUCAUUGGAAACUGGUUGACUUGAGUGCAGAAGAGGAGAGUGGAAUUCCAUGUGUAGCGGUGAAAUGCGUAGAUAUAUGGAGGAACACCAGUGGCGAAGGCGACUCUCUGGUCUGUAACUGACGCUGAGGCUCGAAAGCGUGGGUAGCAAACAGG
rnacentral:rRNA from 1 species